GGGGGUGUAGCUCAGCAGGGAGAGCGCCUGGUUUGCAACCAGGAGGUCAUCGGUUCGAUCCCGUUCACCUCCACCA
rnacentral:tRNA from 1 species